CUGGUAUUUUCAAAAACACCAACUCUGUGCUCCUCUCUAAAACAAAACCCUCACUAUAUAACACAACCCCCCCCCCUCCCACUCGUUUUCUCUUGGAUCCGGUCACCGGAGAUUCUCCGAUCGGCGACCGGUGGCGGGUUCGUUCAUGGCGGCGGCGGAAGAAACAGGGAGAGAGAGAACGAAAGGUGUGGUUGGUCGGAGCUGGUGACGACAAAGGUGACCCCACCUCAGGCAGCGGCGGUGGUGGCCACCCUCUUCUCCGGUGGUGUCAGCGGCACCCACCCCCCCCCCUCAGCAGAUCGAGCAACGACCACCACCAUCGGGUGGUUGUGAAUGACGAGCACAAAAAUCAAGAGAGAGAGAAGGAGAGAGGCGGAGUCGAACGACGGUGGAGGAUUCGAACGACGGAGGUGGAGCUUGUAUACAGCGGGUUCGAGUUUUGGUUCAGCUUUAGUCAAGUUCGGGUCACGGUUCAUUCGGAUCAAAACAGUCAACGAUUUUGGUUCGGGUUCGCGACUCAGUUCGGUGUCGGGUCAGACACACGACUCCGUUCGGGUCGGUGAAGGUGGUUCAAGCUUUAGUUCGGUACAUGUUCAGGCUCGGGGUUAAGUUUGGCUCAACCGGCUCAAGUUCAAUCAACAAAAGUCAGAUCUGAUUUGGUUUAACUCGGGUUGACUCGGUCAAACCGAGUCAACUCAGUGUUCGGGUUAACUCAGUAUGGUUCGACUCGGUUCAACUCGACUCAGCCGGUUCAAAGCAGUCAACGGUUCGGAUAUUUUAGUUUCGGGUCAACAGUAUCAACGCCCGGUCAACUCGAAGAACCGGUAAAGUUUAAGAGUAUCGAGUUAUUAUACGUUAGUUUAGACUUUAGAUUUUUAGACUACGCGAAACCGAGCUCGACCCGAUUAGUUCACGCCUAUACAUUAGCGACUUGUUAUAUUCUUGGCGUUUUUAAUGAAAAUUAUAUCUAUAUAGUG